GGUUAAGCGACUAAGCGUACACGGUGGAUGCCCUGGCAGUCAGAGGCGAUGAAGGACGUGCUAAUCUGCGAUAAGCGUCGGUAAGGUGAUAUGAACCGUUAUAACCGGCGAUUUCCGAAUGGGGAAACCCAGUGUGUUUCGACACACUAUCAUUACGUGAAUACAUAGCGUAAUGAAGCGAACCGGGGGAACUGAAACAUCUAAGUACCCCGAGGAAAAGAAAUCAACCGAGAUUCCCCCAGUAGCGGCGAGCGAACGGGGAGCAGCCCAGAGUCUGAAUCAGCAUGUGUGUUAGUGGAAGCGUCUGGAAAGUCGCACGAUACAGGGUGAAAGUCCCGUACACAAAAGUGCAUGUGUUGUGAACUCGAAGAGUAGGGCGGGACACGUGGUAUCCUGUCUGAAUAUGGGGGGACCAUCCUCCAAGGCUAAAUACUCCUGACUGACCGAUAGUGAACCAGUACCGUGAGGGAAAGGCGAAAAGAACCCCGGCGAGGGGAGUGAAAAAGAACCUGAAACCGUGUACGUACAAGCAGUGGGAGCACCCUUUGGGGUGUGACUGCGUACCUUUUGUAUAAUGGGUCAGCGACUUAUAUUCUGUAGCA
rnacentral:rRNA from 2 species